GACGAACGCUGGCGGCGUGCUUAAUACAUGCAAGUCAACUGAACUUUAGGUAGCAAUAUUUAAAGGGAGGUGGCGCACGGGUGAGUAACACGUAGGUAAUCUGCCUUCAGGACUGACAUAAUUCCGCGAAAGCGGGACUAAAAUCAGAUGAUGCAGCGGCUCGACAUCGAGACAGUUAUUAAACCUUCGGGGCCUGAAGAUGAGCCUGCGUCUGAUUAGGUAGUUGGCGGGGUAAAAGCCCACCAAGCCUGCGAUCAGUAGCUGGUCUGAGAGGAUGAUCAGCCACACUGGAACUGAGACACGGUCCAGACUCCUACGGGAGGCAGCAGUAAGGAAUAUUGCUCAAUGGCCGAAAGGCUGAAGCAGCAACGCCGCGUGGAGGAUGAAAUACUUUAGUAUGUAAACUCCUGUAAGAGGGGAAAAAUAUACAGUUCUGCUGUAUUGAUUGUACCCUCAGAGUAAGCACCGGCUAACUACGUGCCAG
rnacentral:rRNA from 1 species